AGAUUCAAGAGUACAUGUACAACAAGAGUACAUAUACAAGAGUACAACACGGGUUUGGUGUCCAGAUGAUUUUGUCAUCCAGACACCUUUUCCUAGACAACAUCCUGAAACAUAAGAAUAAGCACAAAAAUGAACAUAUUACAUCAAACGUACCACUGAGAAGAAUGGUAAGUUUAACAGUUUCCCACGUGGGAGGCAUAUUGACGAUUACAAUUUUAAGUUAGCAGAACACCAGCUCACAUGGAAACAGUCUCCUCCGUGAAUUCUUUCUUUGGCUGACAGACAUGAGAUGUUAGCUGUCUAAGAAGACCUUCACACCAACACCUUCUUAGAAGAUAUUGUAAGAUAACAAUCCUUGAGUGGAACCUGAAUUCUUUCUAAACACUGCAUGUAGGAAAACAAGAGGCAGUUCACACAAUCACUUAACACCUCUUCUUAAAAGUGAAUCCUUGAAGGAGUGGUGUUCAAAUAUUUAAGUACAUUAGAUACUUUAUACACGCCACAUCCAAAAUGCUCAGUAUUCCUAAUACAUUUCAUUUUCUCCCAAGUUUUAAUGGUUGAUGCACAAUCACAUUAAUUUCCUAUUAAUUUCUAGGAAUAUGUACACAGUAGCCUUAGGAGAAAGAAGAUAACUAUUACUUUACAUUUUUAACUGUUUUGUUUUCAUGUCCAUGAGAGAAAAAUUAAAGUAAGUUAAAAAAUUAACUCAGACACUCUAUUUAUUUUUAGGAAGACAUACACCCCCCACAGGGAGACUUUUACAUGUUGUAAUAAUGUUCACAAACAGCUACUCUUUAAGUGUAACACUAUUCUAAGCCUCUUUUCCUCCAUUUUAUUUCAUAUACAUUUAUGCAUCUGCAUGCAUAUAUAACCACAUGUAUUUAUAUUUAGUAGGUAUAGUUUAUUACACAUAAAUCUAAAUAUCUAUCAUAUACAGUAAAUUAGAACCUAGCAUGAUACUAGCCAUAUAUUAGAGAUUCAAUGAAAAUGGUGGCUGUUUAUAUACAACGUAUUCAUUAAAAAAACCCAAAACUGAUUAUAUGUGUCUUUAUUUGAUUAAAAUAAUGAUUAAAAAAAUGUAACCAGGCUGGG